AUUGAACGCUGGCGGCAUGCCUAACACAUGCAAGUCGAACGGCAGCACGGGAGCAAUCCUGGUGGCGAGUGGCGAACGGGUGAGUAAUAUAUCGGAACGUGCCCAGUCGUGGGGAUAACGUAGCGAAAGCUACGCUAAUACCGCAUACGAUCUAUGGAUGAAAGCGGGGGAUCGCAAGACCUCGCGCGAUUGGAGCGGCCGAUAUCAGAUUAGGUAGUUGGUGAGGUAAAGGCUCACCAAGCCGAUGAUCUGUAGCUGGUCUGAGAGGACGACCAGCCACACUGGGACUGAGACACGGCCCAGACUCCUACGGGAGGCAGCAGUGGGGAAUUUUGGACAAUGGGCGCAAGCCUGAUCCAGCAAUGCCGCGUGCAGGAUGAAGGCCUUCGGGUUGGUU
rnacentral:rRNA from 1 species